GGGAAUAUAGCUCAGUUGGUAGAGUGCUUGCCUAGCAUGCACAAGGCCCUGGGUUCAAUCCCCAGUACCACCA
rnacentral:tRNA from 1 species